AUGAUAUCCUAAGAACAUUUUAUUCUCUUUGUUUUUCUGAUAUAGUACAUUGCACAGAAGUCAAACAAGAUUAAGAAUACUACAAAACAUUUUAUGUGUCUGAAAAGUUUAUUUCAAAAUAAUUUCUACCUACGAAAGAUUUGAUACUUGGCAAGAAACAAUGGAUACGUGUAUCAAGAUGUAAUGAGAAAGACUUGUGUAUAAACCAGAGUCCCUCAAAUUGGAGCUAGAUAAACUGAAAGAUGAAGCUUUUCUCACCUUCCAGAUGACCAAAAGCAUCAACUCAAAGCAAAAACGCAGCAACAGCAACUCUUGGACUAGAUGUAAAGAGACUCCAAUCUCUGAAUACCAGGAGGAGAAACCCAUCACUCCACGGUAGAGCUAAUACUCUUCAAAAGAUUGCAGGUGUGAGAAGGCAGUAGCAGAAUGGACAAAGGUGGAUGCACACACAAGCAAGUUAAAUGCAGCUCUGGAUAUAAAGGUAGGGCAGCAGUGAUAUCCUGCU
rnacentral:lncRNA from 10 species